UACGAAGGGGGCUAGCGUUGCUCGGAAUUACUGGGCGUAAAGGGAGCGUAGGCGGAUAGUUUAGUCAGAGGUGAAAGCCCAGGGCUCAACCCUGGAAUUGCCUUUGAUACUGGCUAUCUUGAGUAUGGGAGAGGUUAGCGGAACUCCGAGUGUAGAGGUGAAAUUCGUAGAUAUUCGGAAGAACACCAGUGGCGAAGGCGGCUAACUGGCCCAUUACUGACGCUGAGGCUCGAAAGCGUGGGGAGCAAACAGGG
rnacentral:rRNA from 1 species